GUCUGCAACCCGACUACAUGAAGCUGGAAUCGCUAGUAAUCGCGGAUCAGAAUGCCGCGGUGAAUACGUUCCCGGGUCUUGUACACACCGCCCGUCACACCAUGGGAGUCGGAAAUGCCCGAAGUCUGUGACCCAACCUACGGGAGGGAGCAGCCGAAGGCAGGUCGGAUNACUGGGGUGAAGUCGUAACAAGGUACC
rnacentral:rRNA from 1 species